AGGAAGAAGGAGAGAAGCCAGGCCAGGCACUAGAUUCUGCCCAGGAAAGGUAAGUGAUCCAGCUGCCUGUACCUUUGGUUUAGCUGACUGUCUGUUUGUUUGGCACAUGUGUGCUCUGAGAAGCUGGAAGUGAGUGCUGAGUGACUGUUGAUUGCUGUGGGAUUGCUGACUGUGUGAUUGCUGCCUUGGCCUGAGUCAGCCCAAGCCCAGAAGGGUAUAAAAGGAGACCCACCCAGGUGACCAGGGAGCCUAUGACCAGGGAGACAGCGAACAGAGACUGCCAACAGGGGAGCAGUUUGCAGGCAGCUCGCAGGCCAGUCAUGGGCAGGAGUACACGGGAGCUUCUGACAGAGACUUCAGGACAAGAUUCCUGGUGGGGAUGCUGCAAGGGAAUGCCCUGAAGCAGAUGCUGGUGAGUGGAGGACGGUCAUCUCAGGGCCCAGACCUUCCAGCACAGAGACAGCUGCCCUGGUGCAGUUGGUGAACAAAUAUGAGGCCCUGGCUGCACUGGAGAAGUGUGCGGUGGGGGAAAGUGCACUGGAAGUGCCUGCCACCAUCACUGAGCAAGCUGGGGGCUGGCCAGGUAAGCAGAAGAGACUCUGCGUCAUCAUUGUGGGCAACUCCUUGCUGAGAGGAACAGAGGGACCCAUCUGUCAUCCGGAUCCCACAGUGCAUGAAGUCUGCUGCCUGCCUGGAACCAGGAUCAGGAAUGUCACGGCAAGAAUUCCUGACCUCAUCCAGCCCUCCGACAACUUUCCGACGGUCCGCAUCCAUGUGG